UUAUUUUACAAGUACCGUGGGGAAAGUUGCAAAGAACUUUGAAGAGAGAGUUCAAGAGUGCGUGAAACCACUGGAAUGGAAACAGACAGAGUUGACGAAACUCGUCGAUAUUCAGCUGAGCCUUCGGGCACGGUGUACUUGUCGGCGGUAUGCGCUGAGUCCGCUGUUGGUGUGCGUUGAGCGUCGCGGUGUUGCCCACUUGUGGUGUCUUGCCGCGGCGGGAGGCGUAUCGUCGGUAGCGCGAUUCGGUGUAGGCGUUGAUCACCUGUCUGACCCGUCUUGAAACACGGACCAAGGAGUCUACCGCAUGCGCGAGUCAUUGGGUUGUAAACCUAGAGGCGCAAUGAAAGUAAAGGUCGGCGUUCGCUCGGCUGAUAUGGGAUGCGUGUGCUUGUCAUGCGCCGCACCAUAGCCCCGUCUCGACGGCUUGCCGUGGGGCGGAGGUAGAGCGUAUGUGGUAGGACCCGAAAGAUGGUGAACUAUACGUGAGCAGGGCGAAGCCGGAGGAAACUCCGGUGGAGGUCCGUAACGAUUCUGACGUGCAAAUCGAUCGUCUGACUUGCGUAUAGGGGCGAAAGACUAAUCGAACCAUCUAGUAGCUGGUUCCUUCCGAA
rnacentral:rRNA from 1 species